rfam:Armatimonadetes bacterium CG2_30_59_28 cg2_3.0_scaffold_96_c, whole genome shotgun sequence.
AAGAUCCGGAUGAGGGAAAACCUCACGUCCGGUUCGGUGAGGGGCAUCGCAACAACUGCUCACUGUGCGUAUGCUGGGGCGGGAGUCCGGUGUUUACUCGAC